GACGAACGCUGGCGGCGUGCUUAACACAUGCAAGUCGAACGGAAAGGCCCUGCUUGCAGGGUACUCGAGUGGCGAACGGGUGAGUAACACGUGGGUGAUCUGCCCUGCACUUCGGGAUAAGCUUGGGAAACUGGGUCUAAUACCGGAUAGGAGCCAUCUUUAGUGUGGUGGUUGGAAAGUUUUUUCGGUGUAGGAUGAGCUCGCGGCCUAUCAGCUUGUUGGUGGGGUAAUGGCCUACCAAGGCGGCGACGGGUAGCCGGCCUGAGAGGGUGUACGGCCACAUUGGGACUGGGAUACGGCCCAGACUCCUACGGGAGGCAGCAGUGGGGAAUAUUGCACAAUGGGCGCAAGCCUGAUGCAGCGACGCCGCGUGGGGGAUGAAGGCCUUCGGGUUGUAAACUCCUUUCGCUAGGGACGAAGCUUUUUUGUGACGGUACCUAGAUAAGAAGCACCGGCUAACUACGUG
rnacentral:rRNA from 1 species